GAUAUUUUCUUCUCUCUCUACCACCUUUCCACCUUUGUAAUAGUACCAUGCCCUUCUUCAAACCAGACUCAUCUUAUGAGAAAAGCUGAUGAGUGAUUCUCUUCUAAUCUGUGAAUCAUUCAAAAUGAAAAACCAUUCGAUCAUUCUCUUCGCCGAUCGCGCUCGUGCUUCGCUUGUCGUCGCCAAACACACGUUCUGUGACCUAACGUGGAGAAUGAGGAAGCUAUAGAAUAGAGACGGAUCUGCCAAGGUUGUUCUAUUGCAUGAUUGAAGCAUCCGCAAGAAAAGCUCCUUUUUUUGUUAUUAUUGGCAAUCUGAUACUGAUUUUAUGUGCCAAUAGUUCACAAAAAUUUCAUGGAUCCGUUGCAUGCCUCCUUCUUGGUUCCUUUCCCAGAUCAUUCGUUUGUAUGUGUAUCUAGGGUUCGCCAGUAACGAUUCAUUCCUUUGUUCGCAAUUAUGAUCCAGUUCUAGCAAUUGGUAUCAAAGCUGAAUUUCGAACUAAUGGGUAUUGCAAACAAAUAAAGAUUUUAAGCCUUUAUGGUUUGUAUGAGAAAUGGGCACAAGAUUGAAAUCGGUGGAUAGAUGUUUUGAGGAAGAAUGCAUAUCGGGGAAAGAUAGGAAGGAGCGACAGAUCCACUGCAAGGUGCAAGAGGUCCGACUCAAGGAAGUUGAGGAAAUGGUUGAAUGAUUGAUAUUCUUGUUGUUCAAAUUGUAGCGAGCGGGCAUCGAACUACGCAGAAUGUCACAUCUCAGAAUGAGGAGUCCACGACAAUUGUUUAGGGAUCAAUAGAGAAAACUUCAACUUUAGAUUCCCAUUUCGUAAUGUUGGGAGAAGACGCAUUCAGGUGGACCAGUGGGCUGGGAGUUGGAACGGUAAUUUUGCAUCAAAGAAGCAACAAGUGAAAGCAAGCUCUAUGGUUGCGCUAGAGGGUUGAGCUUUGGGUUGGUUUCAUGGUGGGGUAAUUACAACCCACUUACUUUUUGGGAGCAAUUCAAGGCAACGCUAUAAAGAGAUUCUAACCCUUCUUGAUAAAAAAUCCCUUUUGAAAUCUGAUAGGUACCCAGAUUUUAUUUAAACUGUAAAGACUUCCAAGACAGGUUCUUGGAUGUUCACCCAGAAAAACCAGACAGCUUUAUUAACAAUGAAACAAGCACAGUAAUCCAGACUGUUACACUAUCCCUGGUCUUUCGAGAGGAUCAGACUCUCCCUAGCCUUCCCUUUACAAACUUCCUAAAAAACUGCCAAAAACAACUGUCUACAAAGUAUGAGACAACAAAACCUACCCAUAGACAGUUGUCCCUUUUAUUUCUCCUAAUAUAAACAUUUCCUUUGAACCUAUCAAAAUCUUUCUAUAUCUGCUGCAAAUAGAGGUGGUUGUAGAUAUGGUUGAAAAUUUUCUCAGAUAUCCAGAGCUUUUGUAGGGAAAUUGAGCAACAUUUUAUGUGUAUUUUCUUGAACUGAUUAAAAGAGGAGGUGCAAACAGAGGUGAGACUUUGUGAUCUGUGGUCUCUCAAAUUGAUAGAGAAGGCAGUGAUUACAACCCGCAUACUUCUUGGGAGCAAUUCAAGGCAACGCCAUAAAGAGAUUCUAACCCUUCUUGAUAAAAAAAUCCCUUUUGAAAUCUGAUAGGUACCCAGAUUUUAUUAAAACUGUAAAGACUUCCAAGACAGGUUCUUGGAUGUUCACCUAGAAAAACCAGACAGCUUUAUUAACAAUGAAACAAGCACAGUAAUCCAAACUGUUACACUAUCCCUGGUCUUUCGAGAGGAUCAGACUCUCCCUUGCCUUCCCUUUACAAAACUUCCUAAAAAACUGCUAAAAACAACUGUGACUUUAUAAAAGUAUGAGACAACAAAACCUAUCCAUAGACAGUUGUCCCUUUUAUUUCUCCUAAUAUAAACAUUUCCUUUGAACCUAUCAAAAUCUUUCUAUAUCCGCUACAAAUAGAGGUGGUUGUAGAUAUGGUUGAAAAUUUUCUCAGAUAUCCAGAGCUUUUAUAGGGAAAUUGAGCAACAUUUUAUGUGUAUUUUCUUGAACUGAUUAAAAGAGGAGGUGCAAACAGAGGUGAGACUUGUGAUCUGUGGUCUCUCAAAUUGAUAGAGAAGGCAGUGAUUACAACCCACAUACUUCUUGGGAGCAAUUCAAGGCAACGCUAUAAAGAGAUUCUAACCCUUCUUGAUAAAAAAAUCCCUUUUGAAAUCUGAUAGGUACCCAGAUUUUAUUAAAACUGUAAAGACUUCCAAGACAGGUUCUUGGAUGUUCACCCAGAAAAACCAGACAGUUUUAUUAACAAUGAAACGAGCACAGUAAUCCAAAAUGUUACACUAUCCCUGGUCUUUCGAGAGGAUCAGACUCUCCAUAGCGUUCCCUCUACAAAAGUUCCUAAAAAACUGCUAAAAACAACUGUCUACACAGACUUUAUAAAAGUAUGAGACAACAAAACCUACCCAUAGACAGUUGUCCCUUUUAUUUCUCCUAAUAUAAACAUUUCCUUUGAACCUAUCAAAAUCCUUCUAUAUCUGCUACAAAUAGAGGUGGUUGUAGAUAUGGUUGAAAAUUUUCUCAGAUAUCCAGAGCUUUUAUAGGGAAAUUGAGCAACAUUUUAUGUGUAUUUUCUUGAACUGAUUAAAAGAGGAGGUGCAAACAGAGGUGGGACUUUGUGAUCUGUGGUCUCUCAAAUUGAUAGAGAAGGCAGUGAUGGUAGACAAGAAUCAAGUAUUGGCAAUAGAGGUUGACAUGAAAAGUGAAGUGACGUACUCUAAAAGUGGGGUGAAAUUGUGAGAUCAGGUACUGUACUUAAUAGAAUUUUCAAGCAAUGGAAGACCUGAAAGGUAGAUUGGGAAGAUUCCAGCCUUUGUUAGAGAAAGAGAUGGAGGAAAGGAUUGGAUCAAGAAAAUGAGGUCUAAGGGGAAUGACAUUCCUAGUGAAAGGCUCAAGGGACUGAAUGUUCCAUUAUUAGUCCUAGGGAUCGAAUGUUACAUUAUCAAUCCUAAGGAUCGAAUGUUCCAUUAUUGGUCCCAUGGUGAGUGUCACUGUUCCAAUCCCUAGUUCAUCGAGUGAUAUUUUAGGAUCAAUUACCAUACAUCCGAGUUAUUUUUGCUUUUUUGUGCUCAGACAUUGUAAUGCCAGACUUCUUUUUUACUCGGACGUUGAAAUGUUGCGCUUCUCUUGUCGUUGAGAUGCUCUUGUAUGAUACUGGGACGUUGAGAUGCUCUUGUACUUGACACUAGAAUGUUGGGUUGUUCUUGCUCGUGUAUUCUGGUGUUGGAACACUGAUCUGCUUUUAUACUCGAUCACCUAAAUGACGAGGUGAUCAUGUACUCGGAGAGUUGCUCUUGCACUUUAGUCGAUUAAGAUUGUGUACCCGUCAGUUGGUAAUGGUGAUAGUGAUAACUCUUGGCUGGUAUUUCUCACGGUUAUGAACAUGGUUGUCACAACUCCAUAUGGUAGUGUGGAGUUGUGCACAACUUCAUUGUUUUGGUUAUGCUCAUGGUGACAGUCCCGAUCAGAAGGGUGUAUUCCUACAGUCAAUGACUUGAUGCUCUACUCUUGUAGGUUAUGGGACCUGGCCACCCUUUCAUGUUGGUGAGGUGGAGUGUGAUCUCUCUUCGUCGUUCGUGACUCGUGGUCUACUUUGUUGAUUCGGACAUUUUAGAGAUCAAGAUUAUUGUUUUUUGGAGUAGAUGUGUGAGACUCUCCUAUUUGGAUAGAGUUCGACACUUUUCGGGUUGUUACUCUCGAAAUAAUAGAAAUGAAAUGAGUCGAGCUUUUAUCGUCGAGCUUCAUGUGGGUGAGCCUUGUUACCGAGCUUGCCGAGUUAUAUUACUGAGCUUAUCUGUCGAGCUUAUGCGUUCCUUUCUGUUAUGUAGGCACUAUGUUGUAUAUAUCAAUAAUGUUCAUUCGUUGUCUUGCAAGUCAUUGUCCAUGAAUGCAAAGUCUUCAUAUGAAGCGUUGGAUUUAUCCUUCAACAUGUCAACGAAGCCAUGUGUUUCUAAGAGUUAUUAUUUGUAGAGAUUUAUUAUUUCUUGA